rnacentral:rRNA from 1 species
UACAGAGGAGCCAAGCGUUGUCCGGAUUGACUGGGCGUAAAGCGCACGUAGGCGGAUUGCUAAGUCAGGGGUGAAAUCCUGGAGCUCAACUCCAGAACUGCCUUUGAUACUGGUGAUCUUGAGUCCGGGAGAGGUGAGUGGAACUGCGAGUGUAGAGGUGAAAUUCGUAGAUAUUCGCAAGAACACCAGUGGCGAAGGCGGCUCACUGGCCCGGUACUGACGCUGAGGUGCGAAAGCGUGGGGAGCAAACAGG